rnacentral:rRNA from 1 species
UACAGAGGUCUCAAGCGUUGUUCGGAUUCAUUGGGCGUAAAGGGUGCGUAGGCGGCGCGGUAAGUCGGGUGUGAAAUUUCGAGGCUUAACUUCGAAACUGCAUUCGAUACUGCCGUGCUUGAGGACUGGAGAGGAGACUGGAAUUUACGGUGUAGUGGUGAAAUGCGUAGAUAUCGUAAGGAAGACCAGUGGCGAAGGCGGGUCUCUGGACAGUUCCUGACGCUGAGGCACGAAGGCCAGGGGAGCAAACGGG